UGAUCUCAAAUCAGGUAGGACUACCCGCUGAACUUAAGCAUA
rnacentral:rRNA from 1 species